rnacentral:rRNA from 1 species
UACGUAGGGGGCAAGCGUUGUCCGGAAUCAUUGGGCGUAAAGCGCGUGUAGGCGGUUCGGUAAGUCUGCUGUGAAAGUCCAGGGCUCAACCCUGGGAUGCCGGUGGAUACUGUCGGGCUAGAGUGCGGCAGAGGUGGGUGGAAUUCCGCGUGUAGCAGUGAAAUGCGUAGAGAUGCGGAGGAACACCGAUGGCGAAGGCAGCCCCCUGGGUCGACACUGACGCUCAGGCACGAAAGCGUGGGGAGCAAACAGG